CGUGCCCGCCUCUAUAAUGCAGUCGAACGGAGACAUUAUAGCAAUAUGAUGUCUUAGUGGCGAACGGGUGAGUAACGCGUUGGUGACCUGCCCCGAAGUGAGGGAUAACAGUUCGAAAGGACUGCUAAUACCCCAUGUGGUCAUGAGAGUUAGAGGUCUCAUGUCUAAAGGAGUAAUCCGCUUUGGGAGGGGCCUGCGUCCCAUCAGCUAGUUGGUAGGGUAAUGGCCUACCAAGGCUUCGACGGGUAGGGGACCUGAGAGGGUGAUCCCCCACACUGGCACUGAAACACGGGCCAGACACCUACGGGUGGCAGCAGUAGGGAAUAUUGCACAAUGGGCGAAAGCCUGAUGCAGCAACGCCGCGUGCGCGAUGAAGGCCUUCGGGUCGUAAAGCGCUUUUCGGGGAGAUGAGGAAGGACAGUAUCCCCGGAAUAAGGCUCGGCUAACUACGUGCCAGCAGCCGCGGUAAAACGUAGGAGCCUAGCGUUAUCCGAAUUUACUGGGCGUAAAGCGCGUGCAGGCGGUUCGGUAAGUUGGAUGUGAAAUCUCCUGGCUCAACUGGGAGAGGUCGUUCAAUACUGUCGGACUCGAGGAUGGUAGAGGGAGGUGGAAUUCCCGGUGUAGUGGUGAAAUGCGUAGAUAUCGGGAGGAAUACCAGUGGCGAAGGCGGCCUCCUGGCCCAUUCCUGACGCUCAGACGCGAAAGCUAGGGGAGCGAACGGGAUUAGAAACCCCGGUAGUCCUAGCCGUAAACGAUGUGGACUUGGCGUUGGUGGGGUAAAAUCCAUCAGUGCCGGAGCUAACGCGGUAAGUCCACCGCCUGGGGACUACUGCCGCAACGUUAAAACUCAAAGGAAUUGACGG
rnacentral:rRNA from 1 species